rnacentral:misc_RNA from 1 species
GUUUAAAAUUUUGUACAAUGUUGCACAGUUGACAUUCUGUUACAUUCGAGUGUGUAAAAGUGCCUUGGAUGAUCCACGUUGUUAUCCAGCCGUGGUCCAAGUAAAAAGUUCACAGGUGUGGGUGGAUUUGCACCCAAGUGUUCACAUGCAUUUGACUGCCAGCACAACUUGAGCGACUUGAAGUUUCAUUAAUGAUCCUUCCGCAGGUUCACCUACGGAAA